rnacentral:tRNA from 1 species
AAAAUCCGUCGACUUUAGAAAUCGUGAGGGUUCAAGUCCCUCUAUCCCCCCAAAAAGACCGAUUUGACUAUUUCUCCUACCCUCUCUUUUUUUUAGUGGUUCAAAAUUCGUUCUCUUUCUCAUUCAUUCUACCUUUUUACAAACGUAUCAGAGCAGAAUUUUUUUUUUCUUUUAUCACAAUCACAAGUGGUGUGGUAUAUAUGAUAUACGUACAAAUGAACAUCUUUGAACAAAGAAUCCCGAUUCACAAUUCAUAUCAUUGCUCAUACUGAAACUUAUAAAUUAUUCUAUUCAAGAAAUCGAAUUCCACGCUCAAGACUUUUAAUACUUUUUUAUCUUUUUUAAUUGACAUAGACCCCAGUCAUCUAGUAAAAUGAGGAUGAUGCGCCGGUAAUGGUCGGGAUAGCUCAGCUGGUAGAGCAGAGGACUGAAAAUCCUCGUGUC